rnacentral:tRNA from 1 species
AAUAAGGUGCCUGAUAAAAAGGAUUAUUUUGAUAGAAUAAAACAUGUAUAAUUUACCCUUAUUA